rnacentral:rRNA from 1 species
UACGUAGGAGGCAAGCGUUAUCCGGAAUGACUGGGCGUAAAGGGUGCGUAGGUGGUUUGAUAAGUUAGUAGCGCAACUCCGGAGCUCAACUUCGGAACUACUACUAAAACUGUCGGACUUGAGUGCAGAAGGGGCAACCGGAAUUCCUAGUGUAGCGGUGGAAUGCGUAGAUAUUAGGAGGAACACCAGUGGCGAAGGCGGGUUGCUAGGCUGUAACUGACACUGAGGCACGAAAGCGUGGGGAGCAAACAGG